rnacentral:rRNA from 1 species
GUAGGGAAUAUUGGGCAAUGGAUGCAAGUCUGACCCAGCCAUCCCGCGUGCCGGAAGAAGGCCCUCAGGGUUGUAAACGGCUUUUGACGGUGAAGAACCGACAGGAUGCGUCCUGUUUUGACGGUAGCCGUUGAAUAAGCACCGGCUAACUCCGUGCCAGUAGCCGCGGUAAUACGGAGGGUGCGAGCGUUGUCCGGAUUUAUUGGGUUUAAAGGGUGCGUAGGCUGGAAGGUCAGUCAGCGGUGAAAAGCUAUCGCUUAACGAUAGUCUUGCCGCAGAUACUUCCUUUCUUGGAUGAGGAGGAGGCCACUGGAACGGAUGGUGUAGCGGUGAAAUGCAUAGAUAUCAUCCAGAACACCGAUUGCGAAGGCAGGUGGCUGUACCUUAAUCGACGCUGAUGCACGAAAGCAUGGGGAGCAAACAGGAUUAGAAACCCCGGUAGUCC